AACGAACGCUGGCGGCAGGCCUAACACAUGCAAGUCGAGCGCCCCGCAAGGGGAGCGGCGGACGGGUGAGUAACGCGUGGGAAUAUGCCCUUUGCUACGGAAUAGUCUCGGGAAACUGGGGGUAAUACCGUAUACGCCCUUUGGGGGAAAGAUUUAUCGGCGAAGGAUUAGCCCGCGUUGGAUUAGGUAGUUGGUGGGGUAAUGGCCUACCAAGCCGACGAUCCAUAGCUGGUUUGAGAGGAUGAUCAGCCACACUGGGACUGAGACACGGCCCAGACUCCUACGGGAGGCAGCAGUGGGGAAUCUUAGACAAUGGGGGCAACCCUGAUCUAGCCAUGCCGCGUGAGUGAUGAAGGCCUUAGGGUUGUAAAGCUCUUUCAGCUGGGAAGAUAAUGACGGUACCAGCAGAAGAAGCCACGGCUAACUCCGUG
rnacentral:rRNA from 1 species